rnacentral:lncRNA from 1 species
UCGCCACCAGUAUUCGACUUCACCGUUUAACAUAAAAGCUGCAAGAUGGACUUUUUAUUCUUCGAUCAGGUCUAGUACAUAGAAGAGUUUCUCUAUUUGUAGGAUCUAGGCUUCGGCUACUAAAGGAUCAGGACCACCAUCAAAGUGUGGGAGGUUAAAUUUCCUAAACUCUGCUAUAUUAUAGGAGAUAGACUAAUCUGUGUUUCAGAAUUCAAGGGUAGGGGGUGGACAAGAGUUGGCCUAGUUAUGUUCUACGGCUACAGUUAAUCCAUGAAUGACUCAGAAAAGUUCUAAAAAUUCAGCCAUGGUCGGAUGAUCCGAGGCUUCAGGUCGUUCAGUAUGCUCUACGGAUGGUCUUC